UUAGAGUGCUCCAGGCAGGCCUAUGCUCGAAUACAUUAGCAUGGAAUAAUGAAAUAGGACGUGCGGUUMUAUUUUGUUGGUUUCUAGGACCGCCGUAAUGAUUAAUAGGGACAGUCGGGGGCAUCAGUAUUCAAUUGUCAGAGGUGAAAUUCYUGGAUUUAUUGAAGACUAAMUACUGCGAAAGCAUUUKCCAAGGAYGUUUUCMUUAAUCAGGAACGAAAGUUAGGGGAUSGAAGACGAUCAGAKACCGUCGUAGUCUUAACCAUAAACUAUGCCGACUAGGGAUCGGACGAUGUUAYUUMUYGACUCSUUYGGCACCUUACGAGAAAUCAAAGUGCUUGGGCUCCAGGGGGAGUAUGGUCGCAAGGCUGAAACUUAAAGAAAUUGACGGAAGGGCACCACCAGGGGUGGAGCCUGCGGCUUAAUUUGACUCAACACGGGGAAACUCACCAGGUCCAGACACAAUAAGGAUUGACAGAUUGAGAGCUCUUUCUUGAUUUUGYGGGUGGUGGUGCAUGGCCGUUCUUAGUUGGUGGAGUGAUUUGUCUGCUUAAUUGCGAUAACGAACGAGACCUUAACCUGCUAAMUAGCCCGUAUUGCUUUGGCAGUACGCCGGCUUCUUAGAGGGACU
rnacentral:rRNA from 1 species